GGGCAACACAGGCACAUUCUCUCGGUGUCUCUGUCUCUAUCUCUAUCUCUCAUCUUCAACUCUUCCUCACCCAGCGAGAGGCGGGUGUCCAGCAAAUUGCUUGGCAAUACACAGAGGAAACUCCAUCCAAAGCCCGGGUCUGCUGGGUCCAGGCCGCCUCUGGGCGCUGUCCAGCGGGCAGCGCGCCUGAGUGACCAGGCUGGGGUCCUGUCUCCGACACCCCGAAGGUGGGGCGGAACGCCAAGGCCGGGAUUUCGAGCGGUGGGGGGGAGGGGUGGGAAAGGCACCGUCCCCAGGGACACCUGUUGUCGCCUUGGGCCAACGAAGACGUCGCGGGGACUCACAUCUCAGGGAGGACACCCGUCUGCAGUGUCCGCGUACGGGAGCGGGGGUCGCAAGUAUCUUCCCCCACCCCCACCGCCCCUUCUCCGCCUUAGGGGGGCUCACCUCACCCCCUCCCACCCCUGGACGCCGGCAGCCAGUGGAAAUGUCGCGCCUCCGCGGGGCUCCGGCCGAGGCACGCGCGGAGGCGUGGGGACACACGGGGCGAGGGGCAGCCCCCGCGGCGCUAGGACCUCGCGGCCGGCCCGCCCCCACCCCCACCCCUCGCCGGCUCCACCUGCGGAGCCCCUCCGGCAGGGCACGCUGGCCCUCCACCGCGGGGCGCGGGCGCGGUUACCUGCGACGCCCCCCUCAGGGUCCCAAGUGUCGGCCGGAACGUCGCCACGGCAGAGCCCGCUGGGCUGGCCCGGGGAUCCUCGCCCAGCCCCACUGCUCCCGCUGCCCUCCCUCGCGGCUGCAGCGCCGCCGCCGGCUCCCGACUCUCUAGGCUCUCUCCGCGCCCGCCGGCUCCUGGCCCCUCUCCCGCAGCUCCUGAUUGGCCGCGGCGCGCGCCCGAGCCGCGCCCUGAUUGGGCAGCCGGGAGCCGGGGCGGGGGGACGGACCCGGCGCCGCCUGGACCUGCUCUGGGUGCCCCCGGCGCCACUGCUUCGCGUUCCCGCAGCACCUCGCGGCCGCGAUCCAGGCGCCGAACCCGGGAUCCUGCCCUCUGCGCCGAGUGGUGUCGGUUGUCCAGGCACCGGGCGGAGCGGAAAGUGGCACGAGUAG
rnacentral:lncRNA from 1 species